rnacentral:rRNA from 1 species
GAUGAACGCUGGCGGCGUGCCUAAUACAUGCAAGUCGAGCGAACGGACGAGAAGCCUGCUUCUCUGAUGUUAGCGGCGGACGGGUGAGUAACACGUGGAUAACCUACCUAUAAGACUGGGAUAACUUCAGGAAACCGGAGCUAAUACCGGAUAAUAUUUUGAACCGCAUGGUUCAAAAGUGAAAGACGGUCUUGCUGUCACUUAUAGAUGGAUCCGCGCUGCAUUAGCUAGUUGGUAAGGUAACGGCUUACCAAGGCAACGAUGCAUAGCCGACCUGAGAGGGUGAUCGGCCACACUGGAACUGAGACACGGUCCAGACUCCUACGGGAGGCAGCAGUAGGGAAUCUUCCGCAAUGGGCGAAAGCCUGACGGAGCAACGCCGCGUGAGUGAUGAAGGUCUUCGGAUCGUAAAACUCUGUUAUUAGGGAAGAACAUAUGUGUAAGUAACUGUGCACAUCUUGACGGUACCUAAUCAGAAAGCCACGGCUAACUACGUG